AAUCUGCGAUAAGCGUCGGUAAGGUGAUAUGAACCGUUAUAACCGGCGAUUUCCGAAUGGGGAAACCCAGUGUGUUUCGACACACUAUCAUUAACUGAAUCCAUAGGUUAAUGAGGCGAACCGGGGGAACUGAAACAUCUAAGUACCCCGAGGAAAAGAAAUCAACCGAGAUUCCCCCAGUAGCGGCGAGCGAACGGGGAGCAGCCCAGAGCCUGAAUCAGUGUGUGUGUUAGUGGAAGCGUCUGGAAAGGCGCGCGAUACAGGGUGACAGCCCCGUACACAAAAAUGCACAUGCUGUGAGCUCGAUGAGUAGGGCGGGACACGUGGUAUCCUGUCUGAAUAUGGGGGGACCAUCCUCCAAGGCUAAAUACUCCUGACUGACCGAUAGUGAACCAGUACCGUGAGGGAAAGGCGAAAAGAACCCCGGCGAGGGGAGUGAAAAAGAACCUGAAACCGUGUACGUACAAGCAGUGGGAGCACGCUUAGGCGUGUGACUGCGUACCUUUUGUAUAAUGGGUCAGCGACUUAUAUUCUGUAGCAAGGUUAACCGAAUAGGGGAGCCGAAGGGAAACCGAGUCUUAACUGGGCGUUAAGUUGCAGGGUAUAGACCCGAAACCCGGUGAUCUAGCCAUGGGCAGGUUGAAGGUUGGGUAACACUAACUGGAGGACCGAACCGACUAAUGUUGAAAAAUUAGCGGAUGACUUGUGGCUGGGGGUGAAAGGCCAAUCAAACCGGGAGAUAGCUGGUUCUCCCCGAAAGCUAUUUAGGUAGCGCCUCGUGAAUUCAUCUCCGGGGGUAGAGCACUGUUUCGGCAAGGGGGUCAUCCCGACUUACCAACCCGAUGCAAACUGCGAAUACCGGAGAAUGUUAUCACGGGAGACACACGGCGGGUGCUAACGUCCGUCGUGAAGAGGGAAACAACCCAGACCGCCAGCUAAGGUCCCAAAGUCAUGGUUAAGUGGGAAACGAUGUGGGAAGGCCCAGACAGCCAGGAUGUUGGCUUAGAAGCAGCCAUCAUUUAAAGAAAGCGUAAUAGCUCACUGGUCGAGUCGGCCUGCGCGGAAGAUGUAACGGGGCUAAACCAUGCACCGAAGCUGCGGCAGCGACGCUUAUGCGUUGUUGGGUAGGGGAGCGUUCUGUAAGCCUGUGAAGGUGUGCUGUGAGGCAUGCUGGAGGUAUCAGAAGUGCGAAUGCUGACAUAAGUAACGAUAAAGCGGGUGAAAAGCCCGCUCGCCGGAAGACCAAGGGUUCCUGUCCAACGUUAAUCGGGGCAGGGUGAGUCGACCCCUAAGGCGAGGCCGAAAGGCGUAGUCGAUGGGAAACAGGUUAAUAUUCCUGUACUUGGUGUUACUGCGAAGGGGGGACGGAGAAGGCUAUGUUGGCCGGGCGACGGUUGUCCCGGUUUAAGCGUGUAGGCUGGUUUUCCAGGCAAAUCCGGAAAAUCAAGGCUGAGGCGUGAUGACGAGGUACUACGGUGCUGAAGCAACAAAUGCCCUGCUUCCAGGAAAAGCCUCUAAGCAUCAGGUAACAUCAAAUCGUACCCCAAACCGACACAGGUGGUCAGGUAGAGAAUACCAAGGCGCUUGAGAGAACUCGGGUGAAGGAACUAGGCAAAAUGGUGCCGUAACUUCGGGAGAAGGCACGCUGAUAUGUAGGUGAAGUCCCUUGCGGAUGGAGCUGAAAUCAGUCGAAGAUACCAGCUGGCUGCAACUGUUUAUUAAAAACACAGCACUGUGCAAACACGAAAGUGGACGUAUACGGUGUGACGCCUGCCCGGUGCCGGAAGGUUAAUUGAUGGGGUUAGCGGUAACGCGAAGCUCUUGAUCGAAGCCCCGGUAAACGGCGGCCGUAACUAUAACGGUCCUAAGGUAGCGAAAUUCCUUGUCGGGUAAGUUCCGACCUGCACGAAUGGCGUAAUGAUGGCCAGGCUGUCUCCACCCGAGACUCAGUGAAAUUGAACUCGCUGUGAAGAUGCAGUGUACCCGCGGCAAGACGGAAAGACCCCGUGAACCUUUACUAUAGCUUGACACUGAACAUUGAGCCUUGAUGUGUAGGAUAGGUGGGAGGCUUUGAAGUGUGGACGCCAGUCUGCAUGGAGCCGACCUUGAAAUACCACCCUUUAAUGUUUGAUGUUCUAACGUUGACCCGUAAUCCGGGUUGCGGACAGUGUCUGGUGGGUAGUUUGACUGGGGCGGUCUCCUCCUAAAGAGUAACGGAGGAGCACGAAGGUUGGCUAAUCCUGGUCGGACAUCAGGAGGUUAGUGCAAUGGCAUAAGCCAGCUUGACUGCGAGCGUGACGGCGCGAGCAGGUGCGAAAGCAGGUCAUAGUGAUCCGGUGGUUCUGAAUGGAAGGGCCAUCGCUCAACGGAUAAAAGGUACUCCGGGGAUAACAGGCUGAUACCGCCCAAGAGUUCAUAUCGACGGCGGUGUUUGGCACCUCGAUGUCGGCUCAUCACAUCCUGGGGCUGAAGUAGGUCCCAAGGGUAUGGCUGUUCGCCAUUUAAAGUGGUACGCGAGCUGGGUUUAGAACGUCGUGAGACAGUUCGGUCCCUAUCUGCCGUGGGCGCUGGAGAACUGAGGGGGGCUGCUCCUAGUACGAGAGGACCGGAGUGGACGCAUCACUGGUGUUCGGGUUGUCAUGCCAAUGGCACUGCCCGGUAGCUAAAUGCGGAAGAGAUAAGUGCUGAAAGCAUCUAAGCACGAAACUUGCCCCGAGAUGAGUUCUCCCUGACUCCUUGAGAGUCCUGAAGGAACGUUGAAGACGACGACGUUGAUAGGCCGGGUGUGUAAGCGCAGCGAUGCGUUGAGCUAACCGGUACUAAUGAACCGUGAGGCUUAACCUU
rnacentral:rRNA from 1 species